rnacentral:rRNA from 1 species
AUUGAACGCUGGCGGCAUGCUUUACACAUGCAAGUCGAACGGUAACAGGUUAAGCUGACGAGUGGCGAACGGGUGAGUAAUGCAUCGGAACGUGCCCGGUCGUGGGGGAUAACACUUCGAAAGAAGUGCUAAUACCGCAUACGAUCUGAGGAUGAAAGCGGGGGACCGUAAGGCCUCGCGCGAUCGGAGCGGCCGAUGUCAGAUUAGGUAGUUGGGGGGGUAAAGGCCUACCAAGCCGACGAUCUGUAGCUGGUCUGAGGGGACGACCAGCCACACUGGGACUGAGACACGGCCCAGACUCCUACGGGGGGCAGCAGUGGGGAAUUUUGGACAAUGGGCGCAAGCCUGAUCCAGCAAUGCCGCGUGCAGGAAGAAGGCCUUCGGGUUGUAAACUGCUUUUGUACGGAGCGAAAAGGCUCUCUCUAAUACAGGGGGCUGAUGACGGUACCGUAAGAAUAAGCACCGGCUAACUACGUGCCAGCCGCCGCAGUAACAC